rnacentral:lncRNA from 1 species
CUCUAGGGCAAUAACCAUACCCCUUUGAAACAUCCCUACCCACCUAGCCUGGCUGACAGUGGUCACUACAGCUGUGGCCCAAAGUACUUCAUCCCACCAGAAGCCAGAGUGCAUUUCCUGUGGGGCCUGGGACAGAGAUCAGGCUGUGAACUCAGAUGUCCUUCCUGGCCAUGUGAUAUACCCACAGCCACAAGUGACGAAAGAUUCCAACCCCACCCCUCACAACAUAUCAAAUUUCUCUGCCUGUCUGUCUGAGGAGCAGGACUGUCCUAAAGUACCAGGAACCUUGUGAUAAUUUAUCUGUUAAACCCAGAUUUUGUUCCUACGGAUUUUAACUUGGAGGACAAUGCAGUUGGGUUCAUAUCUGAUAACACCGCUUCCACUGGGCUCAGGCAGUCCAGGAGUCUGAACUCAGUUCUCUCUGCUCUGGAAGAAGGAAUAAGCCAGAUUCAGAAAGCAGGCCACUGGAAGGGAGGCAAAGAGACUUCUCCAGAGGAUGCCCCUGAUAACCUGGUGAACGAUGUCAAGAUGAUCCUGUGGAAACUAGUGGCCACAGACCAGCUCCAGAGCCAAGAAUUCACCAAAUCAGAGCAGCCCCGACAGAAACCCAACAAGCGAGACUGCUUCUGGAAGUACUGUGUCACCAACUGAGGCUGCCUGUCACAUGGCCAUCCCAACGCAGACAUGCACUUUGUGAGUCCUCCACCAAGGGUCCUCCACAAACUUGGCCUCCUUGGAUGCGUGUGCCCCUUCCUUGCCUGCCUUUGUGCCCCCCAGCCUCUCUGCAGCUGCCAUGGAAGAGCAUGCAUUGCUUUGUAAAUAGCAUUACAAAUAAUGAGGAUGUGUCGGUGGAAAUUGGCUUAGUAUGUUGAGAGAAAGAACAGGGCUUGACUCUGUUCAGAUGAAAUAGUCCAUAUUGAAAUAUAGGCUACAGUCCCAGGGCUGUAUUCCCCUGCCACAGCAUGCACAGAAACCCACUGAAGUCAAGUAUCCUGCAGUGUGAGAAUCAGGCAUCUGGUGCCUUUAAAGUUCCCCCCAUCCUGCAGUGUGAAUUCCACUGAAUAAUGCUGAGCCCUUGGAAAGAGACAUCCCUGUGCUGCACUACAGGAGGAAUCUGAAAGGACUGGAACUGUUCCAGGCCUGUUUCAGCAUUG